ACGUAGGGUGCAAGCGUUGUCCGGAUUUAUUGGGUUUAAAGGGUGCGUAGGCGGCCUAUUAAGUUAGUGGUUAAAGACUGCGGCUCAACCGUAGCACGCCAUUGAUACUGGUAGGCUUGAGUGCGACAGAGGAGACUGGAAUGUGUGGUGUAGCGGUGAAAUGCAUAGAUAUCACACAGAACACCAAUUGCGAAGGCAGGUCUCUAUGCCGCAACUGACGCUGAGGCACGAAAGCGUGGGGAGCGAACAGG
rnacentral:rRNA from 1 species